GGGGUGGCACAUAUGUUCUAGGGUUUCAUUAGAGGGGUGGUGGCAUAAAUAGAAACCAUUAGAUCUUCAUGUUGCUUCUCCUCUGUUGAUCAAUAAGUCGUGUUCACACUUGGAUCUUUAUAAAAGAUGGUCUUUUAAUCUAAGCCCUUGAUAUUUAAGUCGUGUUCACACUUGAUAUCAUGUGAAGUGUUAUCUUUUAAUUUGAACCCCUGAUUAGAGAGGUUGCAGCUGAUCCCUUCAUGAAUAAGUCGUAUUUCACACUUAAAUAAGAGCUAGUUGCCUGGUUCACUCAAAUUUGAUCUGAUUUGAGUCCAAUUUGAAUCGUAUGAAUCCA
rnacentral:lncRNA from 1 species